AGAGUUUGAUCAUGGCUCAGAACGAACGCUGGCGGCGUGCUUAACACAUGCAAGUCGAGUGCGCGUUCCGUAGCAAUACGGAAUGGCGCACGGCGCACGGGUGCGUAACACGUGGGUAACCUGCCCUUUGGUGGGGAAUAACUCCGCGAAAGCGGAGCUAAUUCCGCAUAAGAUCCGCAAGGAUGAAAGCCGAAAGGCGCCGAUGGAGGGGCCCGCGCCCGAUUAGCUAGUUGGUAGGGUAAUGGCCUACCAAGGCUUUGAUCGGUAGCUGGUCUGAGAGGAUGAUCAGCCACACUGGAACUGAGACACGGUCCAGACUCCUACGGGAGGCAGCAGUGGGGAAUCUUGCACAAUGGGCGAAAGCCUGAUGCAGCGACGCCGCGUGGGGGAUGAAGCAUUUCGGUGUGUAAACCCCUUUCGAUCCGGACGAAACCCCGCAAGGGAUUGACGGUACGGAUCUAAGAAGCCCCGGCUAACUACGUGCCAGCAGCCGCGGUAAGACGUAGGGGGCCAGCGUUGUUCGGAAUUACUGGGUGUAAAGGGUUCGUAGGCGGUGCGGCAAGUUGGGAGUGAAAUCUCUGGGCUUAACCCAGAGGCUGCUUCCAAAACUGCUGUGCUUGAGUGUGGGAGAGGCGCGUGGAAUUGCAGGUGUAGCGGUGAAAUGCGUAGAUAUCUGCAGGAACACCCGUGGCGAAAGCGGCGCGCUGGACCACUACUGACGCUGAGGAACGAAAGCUAGGGGAGCAAACAGGAUUAGAUACCCUAGUAGUCC
rnacentral:rRNA from 1 species